rnacentral:rRNA from 1 species
GACGAACGCUGGCGGCGUGCUUAACACAUGCAAGUCGAACGGAAAGGCCCUGCUUUUGUGGGGUGCUCGAGUGGCGAACGGGUGAGUAACACGUGAGUAACCUGCCCUUGACUUUGGGAUAACUUCAGGAAACUGGGGCUAAUACCGGAUAGGAGCUCCUGCUGCAUGGUGGGGGUUGGAAAGUUUCGGCGGUUGGGGAUGGACUCGCGGCUUAUCAGUUUGUUGGUGGGGUAGUGGCUUACCAAGGCUUUGACGGGUAGCCGGCCUGAGAGGGUGACCGGCCACAUUGGGGCUGAGAUACGGCCCAGACUCCUACGGGAGGCAGCAGUGGGGAAUAUUGCACAAUGGGCGGAAGCCUGAUGCAGCAACGCCGCGUGCGGGAUGACGGCCUUCGGGUUGUAAACCGCUUUCGCCUGUGACGAAGCGUGGGUGACGGUAAUGGGUAAAGAAGCACCGGCUAACUACGUG